rnacentral:tRNA from 1 species
GGAGACGUGGCCGAGCGGUCGAAGGCGCUCCCCUGCUAAGGGAGUAAACCGAAAGGUUUCGUGGGUUCGAAUCCCAUCGUCUCCGCCA